AUGUCUGUGUUCCAGGACC
rnacentral:miRNA from 1 species